rnacentral:rRNA from 1 species
AGUGAACGCUGGCGGUAGGCCUAACACAUGCAAGUCGAACGGCAGCACAGUAAGAGCUUGCUCUUACGGGUGGCGAGUGGCGGACGGGUGAGGAAUACAUCGGAAUCUACUUUUUCGUGGGGGAUAACGUAGGGAAACUUACGCUAAUACCGCAUACGACCUACGGGUGAAAGCAGGGGAUCUUCUGACCUUGCGCGAUUGAAUGAGCCGAUGUCGGAUUAGCUAGUUGGCGGGGUAAAGGCCCACCAAGGCGACGAUCCGUAGCUGGUCUGAGAGGAUGAUCAGCCACACUGGAACUGAGACACGGUCCAGACUCCUACGGGAGGCAGCAGUGGGGAAUAUUGGACAAUGGGCGCAAGCCUGAUCCAGCCAUACCGCGUGGGUGAAGAAGGCCUUCGGGUUGUAAAGCCCUUUUGUUGGGAAAGAAAAGCAGCAGGUUAAUACCCCGCUGUUCUGACGGUACCCAAAGAAUAAGCACCGGCUAACUUCGUGC